rnacentral:pre_miRNA from 1 species
AAACUACUCCCUUCGUUCGAAAUUACUUGUCGCAGAAAUGGAUGUAUCUAGAUGUAUUUUAGUUUUAAAUACAUCCAUAUCCGAGACAAGUAAUUCCGAACGGAGGGAGUAUAUC